CCCAAGCCAACCUGCUCACUCACAUCUCAUCUAAGCCCUCAAUAUCUCCCGAGUCCUUCUACCCAACCUCUGAGCAUUUCCAAACAGCAUGAUGAUUGCAACGACAUGCUUUCUGGUCACUUUAAUAAUUUUAAACAAUGGACUAAGUGGUAACUCCCAUUUCGCAACCUUAGGUCAAGCAACUGACUCGUUAAAGAUUGAUUCCAAAAGUUUCUCCGUCGGCGAAAUCAAUGAUCGUUUGGAAUUCGAUGAUGGUUCCGGAAUCAAGGAAACGAUGUCAAAUGUGCCAGAAUGUCUAGGAAAAGGCUCUGAAUUUUUUACCAUUUCCCUGCAGAAUCCGAGUGGAUGUUAUAUUUUCCACACCACUGGAUUCAACAUGAAUGGAUAUGCGAAUAAUUCAGGAAAUUUUGGUCUAUCCCUUUGCAGUUACAAC